GACACAACAUGGCCACUGCCUUCUCCGGGCUGCCUACCCCAUUAAUUCUGUGCAGAUCCAUGCAAAGCCUAGCACUGCUCUAUUGCAGUGCCUCCAAAAUGAUGCUUCAAAGGAUUACAAAAUCAAACUCGGAGUCCCGUGGUUUUAUUUCCUCCAGCCUGCUUUCUGACCUCUCAAACAGAAUAAGAGGACUGGCUUGUCCUCCCCUUUUUCUUUUAUGUUGUCUUUUCUUCCUCAUUGCAUUUUCAGGUGAGCUAAACCUACCUGCACUGAAGAUAUUAAAUGAGACGUCUUCCCCGGGAAGUAAAGCUUUUCUAGGCUGUUUCCAUUGUUCUCACCAUGGGAUGACUACUGAAGAUGUGCCCAAGCUGCUGCUGGCUUGUCUUUAAAUACAAAAGAAAAAGAAAAGAAAAAAACAAGCUUUGAAUUUUCUUCUCAUCACAAAUCUAUGUCUGGAAAUGGAAGGGCAUUCUUCUUGCACAGCCAUUACACCCUGUUAUUCACCACUGUGUUAGUGACCCACUGCAAAGGUAACAGCUGUGAUUGUAUAUUGUCGUUAAUACAACUGAGCUUUGAACCAAGACCUUUAAUAAGGGAAAAAAAAAAAGCUUUAUAACAAUGAA